UACCUUUGGUGUCUUCAUCCUCAAUGGUGGUGUUUGUGCUCUCUGAAGAUUCCUGGAGAAAGAACGGAGAGGACAGAAGCAAAAUAAGAUGCACCCAAAUGGCUUCCCCCCCCAGAAAACCGGUAACCCAUCACCCAGGUUCUACCUCAACAGAACCAAACACUGCAAAGGGAUGAAAACCAGGUUUUCAGUUGAGCAGAAGAUAGUUCAUCAGGCCACCAUGGGAGACUCAGACUCAAAUAAAACAGCAAUGACCUAUCUGAAAAGAAAAGGUGGCAGCUGGGCCCCUCGCCACUGCUCAGAGGCUCAGUCUAAACUGAUGUCCACAGGAGCCAAUCAAAGAAAGAGUCCUCCUUGCUCCCACUCCCCAUCCCAUCUCCCUCUCUUCCAUAUUAAGUGUCUUUCAGUUUGUCUUACCUGUCACAGCCCCCUUUACAGUAUUAAGAAAUGCCCUAGAGCCAAUUCAAAUUGUUGGGCAGGGGGAUGUGGUAAAGCUCUCUUGGCCGAUCCAUAACACCUCCAAAUUCACUCGGGUGUUGAUUUGUUUGGAAGUGCUUCCGUGUCAAGAUAUUCCUUCACACAGAGAUGACAAGCCAGGAAGAAGGCCUGCCUGAUUUCUGAGGCACACUGUGGCAUAAUUCACUCCCACACAAGGACCAGAGGAGCAUCAACCUCCAGAUUUCUGAAUCAGUUGGACUUGUGAGUUGCUGUCCUCUUGUGGGGCUGUUUCACCAUGGCCUCCAAACAUUUGGAUUGGCUCUAUUUCCCCGAAAUGACCGUAGCAUAGUAACAGUAAGACGGUAGGAGAAAGGCACAAGCUUUUUUCCUCCUCUUUAUGAAAAGAAAGCAGGAAUGGGAAGAGAUUAUGAGGAUAUGAGUUAGCCAAGCAAAUUGAACAUGAGUCAAGGCAUCCAUUACUCUAAGCAGCAAACUUUGCUUAGGUAAAGGUAUUUGCUUUUCCUUUUUUGCUUUCAGAAUGUGGAAAUGUAUUUCAUGAUGAGAAGAGGAUGGUGCAAGAGAUCCACUAAUGCAAGGCCUUAACACAAAGGGCCUGGGCCACGCAGGGACCCAUGACCACACAGUCCACCAGCCCAAACAUUCCUGCCUUCUUGAGUACAGGCAAGCUGGUGGCUCUAUGAGCCCAGGACUUACCUUGACGCCAUCGUUCUUCUUGUUGCCACCACUUUUCCCUCC